rnacentral:rRNA from 1 species
GACGAACGCUGGCGGCGUGCUUAACACAUGCAAGUCGAACGGAAAGGCCCUGCUUUUGUGGGGUGCUCGAGUGGCGAACGGGUGAGUAACACGUGAGUAACCUGCCCUUGACUUUGGGAUAACUUCAGGAAACUGGGGCUAAUACCGGAUAGGAGCUCCUGCUGCAUGGUGGGGGUUGGAAAGUUUCGGCGGUUGGGGAUGGACUCGCGGCUUAUCAGCUUGUUGGUGGGGUAGUGGCUUACCAAGGCUUUGAUGGGUAGCCGGCCUGAGAGGGUGACCGGCCACAUUGGGACUGAGAUACGGCCCAGACCCCUACGGGAGGCAGCAGUGGGGAAUAUUGCACAAUGGGCGGAAGCCUGAUGCAGCAACGCCGCGUGCGGGAUGACGGCCUUCGGGUUGUAAACCGCUUUCGCCUGUGACGAAGCGUGAGUGACGGUAAUGGGUAAAGAAGCACCGGCUAACUACGUG